AGCGAACGCUGGCGGCAGGCCUAACACAUGCAAGUCGAACGAACUCUUCGGAGUUAGUGGCGGACGGGUGAGUAACACGUGGGAACGUGCCUUUAGGUUCGGAAUAACUCAGGGAAACCUGUGCUAAUACCGAAUGUGCUCUUCGGGGGAAAGAUUCAUCGCCUUUAGAGCGGCCCGCGUCUGAUUAGCUAGUUGGUGGGGUAAUGGCCCACCAAGGCUACGAUCAGUAGCUGGUCUGAGAGGAUGACCAGCCACAUUGGGACUGAGACACGGCCCAAACUCCUACGGGAGGCAGCAGUGGGGAAUCUUGCGCAAUGGGCGAAAGCCUGACGCAGCCAUGCCGCGUGGAUGAUGAAGGUCUUAGGAUUGUAAAAUCCUUUCACCGGUGAAGAUAAUGACUGUAGCCGGAGAAGAAGCCCCGGCUAACUUCGUGCCAGCAGCCGCCGUAACAC
rnacentral:rRNA from 1 species